rnacentral:rRNA from 1 species
CGCUGGCGGCGUGCCUAACACAUGCAAGUCGAACGGAGAAUUUCAAUAAGCUUGCUUAGAGAAAUUCUUAGUGGCGGACGGGUGAGUAACGCGUGGGUAACCUACCCAUAAAGCCGGGACAACCCUUGGAAACGAGGGCUAAUACCGGAUAAUCUUGAGUUGUGGCAUCACGAUUCAAGGAAAGAUGGCCUCUGAAAAUGCUAUCGAUUAUGGAAGGACCCGCGUCUGAUUAGCUAGUUGGUGGGGUAAAGGCCUACCAAGGCGACGAUCAGUAGCCGGCCUGAGAGGGUGAACGGCCACACUGGGAYUGAGACACGGCCCAGACUCCUACGGGAGGCAGCAGUGGGGAAUCUUCCGCAAUGGACGAAAGUCUGACGGAGCAACGCCGCGUGUAUGAUGAAGGUCUUCGGAUUGUAAAGUACUGUCUUUGGGGAAGAACGGUUUUCUUGAGAAGAUUGAGGAGACAUGACGGUACCCAAGGAGGAAGCCCCGGCAA